UGGCCGCGGGAUUAGAGUUUGAUCAUGGCUCAGAACAAACGCUGGCGGCGUGCCUAACACAUGCAAGUCGUACGAGAAAGUCGGCUUCGGCCGAUGAGUACAGUGGCGCACGGGUGAGUAGCGCGUGGGUAAUCUGCCCCCCGGUCAGGAAUAACCCGCCGAAAGGCGGGCUAAUACCCGGUAACACUGACGCUCCGCGGAGCGUCUUUCAAAGAAGGCCUCUGUUUACAAGCUUUCGCCGGAGGAUGAGCCCGCGUACCAUUAGCUAGUUGGCAGGGUAAUGGCCUACCAAGGCUACGAUGGUUAGCUGGUCUGAGAGGAUGGCCAGCCACACUGGAACUGAGACACGGUCCAGACUCCUACGGGAGGCAGCAGUGAGGAAUCUUGCGCAAUGGGGGAAACCCUGACGCAGCAACGCCGCGUGAGUGAGGAAGGCCUUCGGGUCGUAAAGCUCUGUCAGAUGGGAAGAAAUGGAUGGGGGCUAAUAUCGCCCAUCCUUGACGGUACCAUCAGAGGAAGCACCGGCUAACUCCGUGCCAGCAGCCGCGGUAAUACGGGGGGUGCGAGCGUUGUUCGGAAUCAUUGGGCGUAAAGAGCGCGCAGGCGGCUUGGUGAGUCAGAUGUGAAAGCCCUGGGCUUAACCCAGGAAGUGCAUUUGAUACUGCCUCGCUAGAGUACGGGAGAGGAAAGUGGAAUUCCUGGUGUAGAGGUGAAAUUCGUAGAUAUCAGGAGGAACACCGGUGGCGAAGGCGACUUUCUGGCCCGAUACUGACGCUCAGGCGCGAAAGCGUGGGGAGCAAACAGGAUUAGAUACCCUGGUAGUCCACGCCGUAAACGAUGUUCACUA
rnacentral:rRNA from 1 species